rnacentral:rRNA from 1 species
UUGUGAGGUUAAGCGACUAAGCGUACACGGUGGAUGCCCUGGCAGUCAGAGGCGAUGAAGGACGUGCUAAUCUGCGAUAAGCGUCGGUGAGGUGAUAUGAACCGUUAUAACCGGCGAUUUCCGAAUGGGGAAACCCAGUGUGUUUCGACACACUAUCAUUAACUGAAUCCAUAGGUUAAUGAGGCGAACCGGGGGAACUGAAACAUCUAAGUACCCCGAGGAAAAGAAAUCAACCGAGAUUCCCCCAGUAGCGGCGAGCGAACGGGGAGGAGCCCAGAGCCUGAAUCAGUGUGUGUGUUAGUGGAAGCGUCUGGAAAGGCGCGCGAUACAGGGUGACAGCCCCGUACACAAAAAUGCACAUGCUGUGAGCUCGAUGAGUAGGGCGGGACACGUGGUAUCCUGUCUGAAUAUGGGGGGACCAUCCUCCAAGGCUAAAUACUCCUGACUGACCGAUAGUGAACCAGUACCGUGAGGGAAAGGCGAAAAGAACCCCGGCGAGGGGAGUGAAAAAGAACCUGAAACCGUGUACGUACAAGCAGUGGGAGCCUCUUAAUGGGGUGACUGCGUACCUUUUGUAUAAUGGGUCAGCGACUUAUAUUCUGUAGCAAGGUUAACCGAAUAGGGGAGCCGAAGGGAAACCGAGUCUUAACUGGGCGUUAAGUUGCAGGGUAUAGACCCGAAACCCGGUGAUCUAGCCAUGGGCAGGUUGAAGGUUGGGUAACACUAACUGGAGGACCGAACCGACUAAUGUUGAAAAAUUAGCGGAUGACUUGUGGCUGGGGGUGAAAGGCCAAUCAAACCGGGAGAUAGCUGGUUCUCCCCGAAAGCUAUUUAGGUAGCGCCUCGUGAAUUCAUCUCCGGGGGUAGAGCACUGUUUCGGCAAGGGGGUCAUCCCGACUUACCAACCCGAUGCAAACUGCGAAUACCGGAGAAUGUUAUCACGGGAGACACACGGCGGGUGCUAACGUCCGUCGUGAAGAGGGAAACAACCCAGACCGCCAGCUAAGGUCCCAAAGUCAUGGUUAAGUGGGAAACGAUGUGGGAAGGCCCAGACAGCCAGGAUGUUGGCUUAGAAGCAGCCAUCAUUUAAAGAAAGCGUAAUAGCUCACUGGUCGAGUCGGCCUGCGCGGAAGAUGUAACGGGGCUAAACCAUGCACCGAAGCUGCGGCAGCGACGCUUAUGCGUUGUUGGGUAGGGGAGCGUUCUGUAAGCCUGUGAAGGUGGCCUGUGAGGGUUGCUGGAGGUAUCAGAAGUGCGAAUGCUGACAUAAGUAACGAUAAAGCGGGUGAAAAGCCCGCUCGCCGGAAGACCAAGGGUUCCUGUCCAACGUUAAUCGGGGCAGGGUGAGUCGACCCCUAAGGCGAGGCCGAAAGGCGUAGUCGAUGGGAAACAGGUUAAUAUUCCUGUACUUGGUGUUACUGCGAAGGGGGGACGGAGAAGGCUAUGUUGGCCGGGCGACGGUUGUCCCGGUUUAAGCGUGUAGGCUGGUUUUCCAGGCAAAUCCGGAAAACCAAGGCUGAGGCGUGAUGACGAGGCACUACGGUGCUGAAGCGACAAAUGCCCUGCUUCCAGGAAAAGCCUCUAAGCAUCAGGUAACAUCAAAUCGUACCCCAAACCGACACAGGUGGUCAGGUAGAGAAUACCAAGGCGCUUGAGAGAACUCGGGUGAAGGAACUAGGCAAAAUGGUGCCGUAACUUCGGGAGAAGGCACGCUGAUAUGUAGGUGAAGCGACUUGCUCGUGGAGCUGAAAUCAGUCGAAGAUACCAGCUGGCUGCAACUGUUUAUUAAAAACACAGCACUGUGCAAACACGAAAGUGGACGUAUACGGUGUGACGCCUGCCCGGUGCCGGAAGGUUAAUUGAUGGGGUUAGCGGUAACGCGAAGCUCUUGAUCGAAGCCCCGGUAAACGGCGGCCGUAACUAUAACGGUCCUAAGGUAGCGAAAUUCCUUGUCGGGUAAGUUCCGACCUGCACGAAUGGCGUAAUGAUGGCCAGGCUGUCUCCACCCGAGACUCAGUGAAAUUGAACUCGCUGUGAAGAUGCAGUGUACCCGCGGCAAGACGGAAAGACCCCGUGAACCUUUACUAUAGCUUGACACUGAACAUUGAGCCUUGAUGUGUAGGAUAGGUGGGAGGCUUUGAAGUGUGGACGCCAGUCUGCAUGGAGCCGACCUUGAAAUACCACCCUUUAAUGU